GGGAUGGAGCCUGGCUCCACCUCUCCUAGACCCAUUUAAGAGCUGACUGCCAGUGGGGAAGGGUCUCUCUGGAGAUGUGUUCCACUGGAGUCUAUUAUGCAAGCCCAGGAUAGGGACAAGGACAAAACUUUCCCAGGAGGUUACUUAGGGAGAGAAAGGGAUGCUGAGUAUCUGCCACCAGCUAAGGAAGAAUGAGCAAUGAUGAUGUGAUAACAGAAGUCAACGAACACAGCUUGAAUACCACAUUGGAUGGUUAGAGGAAGCCAUUAAUACGAAGCUGGGAAACCUGUCUUGCGAAUUAUUGAAAAUAUUAUUAAAAAAAUUUGAAUAUCACUUUUGUAGAACUACUUCUCAACAACCUACUGCCAUAGCUUGUGAAAGGCCUUAAUCGUUUAUGUUAGAGGGAUUAAUACUGAAGUAAAAUGUCUUUCUAUGGUGAAGAUGAUGAUUACUUGAGACAAGACUAGCGGAGAAAAGCAAUUACUUAAAAUUCAUCCUGUAUUUUUUUAUUUGGUGUACACAGUUCAUAAUUACAGUUCAAAUAUAUCUUUCUAUGUUAAAAUACACUUAAUAAAUUUUGCAUCGGAGUUUGACUAGACAAAACAGCACAGCUAUUUUACUUACAAAACAACUCAAAUAUAUUCAGCCAAAAAAACUUGGUAUUUCCUAUCUAUUUCACAAAA